UUUUUCCCGUUGGGGGCGGGGACGUAAUUCAUGCUUCCCUGCUUGUUACAGUUGUUUUGGAUUGUGAGAAGUAAGUCAAUCUUUUUUGCUCGUUGGGAGACAGGGGAAACGUAUUUCAUGCUUUCGUACUCGUCACUGUUGUGUUGGAGGGUGACAUAUUAAUCCCUUUACCUUUGAGGGGGCGGGGAGAUGUGUUUCAUGCCAAGGUACUCGUCACUGUUGUGUUGGAUGGUGACAUAUUAAUCCCUUUACCUUUGAGGGGGCGGGGAGAUGUGUUUCAUGCCUAGGUACUCGUCACUGUUGUGUUGGAUGGUGACAAGGUUCAGCGAGUGACCGCC